rnacentral:rRNA from 1 species
GCACCGGCUAACUCCGUGCCAGCAGCCGCGGUAAUACGGAGGGUGCGAGCGUUGUCCGGAAUCAUUGGGCGUAAAGGGCGCGUAGGUGGCCCGGUCAGUCCGUGGUGAAAGCGCGGGGCUCAACCCUGCGUCGGCCAGGGAUACUGCUGCGGCUUGAGCACUGUAGAGGCAGGCGGAAUUCCGGGUGUAGCGGUGGAAUGCGUAGAGAUCCGGAAGAACACCGGUGGCGAAGGCGGCCUGCUGGGCAGUUUGGCUGACACUGAGGCGCGACAGCGUGGGGAGCAAACAGGAUUAGAUACCCUGGUAGUCCACGCCGUAAACGAUGGGCACUAGGCGCUUGGGGGAGCGACCCCUCGAGGGCCGGCGCUAACGCAUUAAGUGCCCCGCCUGGGGAGUACGGCCGCA